rnacentral:hammerhead_ribozyme from 1 species
GUAUUACUGAAGAGUCCCAAACUAGGACAAAACGACUGUCCAAUAC